CCAAACUCCUACGGGAGGCAGCAGUAGGGAAUCUUCCACAAUGGGCGAAAGCCUGAUGGAGCAACGCCGCGUGGGUGAAGAAGGUCUUCGGAUCGUAAAACCCCGUUGUUAGAGAAGAAAGUGCGUGAGAGUAACUGUUCACGUUUCGACGGUAUCUAACCAGAAAGCCACGGCUAACUACGUGCCAGCAGCCGCGGUAAUACGUAGGUGGCAAGCGUUAUCCGGAUUUAUUGGGCGUAAAGGGAACGCAGGCGGUCUUUUAAGUCUGAUGUGAAAGCCUUCGGCUUAACCGGAGUAGUGCAUUGGAAACUGGGAGACUUGAGUGCAGAAGAGGAGAGUGGAACUCCAUGUGUAGCGGUGAAAUGCGUAGAUAUAUGGAAGAACACCAGUGGCGAAAGCGGCUCUCUGGUCUGUAACUGACGCUGAGGUUCGAAAGCGUGGGUAGCAAACAGGAUUAGAUACCCUGGUAGUCCACGCCGUAAACGAUGAAUGCUAAGUGUUGGAGGGUUUCCGCCCUUCA
rnacentral:rRNA from 1 species